ensembl:lncRNA
CGGGCACAGUGCUGUGAAGGAUGGAGCAAGGCCCUGGCUGCUGGGGCUGCACCAGAGGCUGCGGUUGCAUUGCAGGGCAAACCUUUUAACUCGUGUCUGUGAGUGAAGACAGUUGAGGGUCCCUCUUAUUUAUUUGUGUUUUCCUGCACGUGACUUCCAGGGACGUGUACGCCUUCCUCGAGCAGCACUUCUUGGCCCAGGAUUUCAAGCUGCUGCUGAUAAGAUCUGUAGGAAGUACUGCCCUGCAGUGUGGAAAGGUGUAGUGCAUUCUAGUCGGAGCCAGAUGCAUGGGUUGCUGCUGAAGGCCUUGCGAAACUCCUGUGUUAAAGUAUAAAUGAUAGAGGAACCACUUUUUCUUAUGCUUGGUUUGUUGAGUGACCUCUUGCGUCUACGGAACAUAAAAGGAAGUGGACGAUCUUUCAGAACGAAACCUAAAUUAGAGUGGAUGUGCACCUAAAAUAUGAUGUUUUUCAAUUUCACGUGGAGCCAAUAUUUUAAAAGAAAGAACCUACCAGGGGCUUUGAUGGAAACGAGGCUCUACUUUCCUGGAUAGUUAUUGAAAAGCCGUGUCCUAUGUCUGGCACUGUUGUUAUGCAGGAGUGUGCGUGGGCUUAGCCUGGUGCCACUGAAGCUCACACCGCAUGCCUAAGUGUUUGUACAGACUUAGUAAAAUGACUUAUUCUAAACACAGCUAGUUGUGAUAUCACUGUAAGUUUUCAAAACUUCCCUGUAACUAAGGAAGCCCACGUAGCAGUAAAUCAACACAAUGUAAGUAUUUAUGGUUUGCUGGAAAAUGAAGAAUAACGUCCCUUAGGUAAACCAGACUGAAAUUUGACUUAUCUAAGUAUAGUUUGGUUCUGUGUGUGGUCCUCUUUUCCCCAUUCCCUCUCCACCCAGACAAUAAAUAUUUGGAUAUUUGUCAAAUAUUUCAUGAGCUCAAUUGUUGUUUUCUAUGGUGCUCUGUGGUUCUCAUUUGCUUACUGAAAAAACUGACAUGAAACGCAUCUCCCACAGUCUGCUCAGAGAAGGCAGUUCUCAUUUAUAAUAACAUUCAAUUCUUGAAAACACUGAAUAGGUCAAAGCUAGGAAAUAGGUGCUAUUUCUCCAGUGUUUUCUGUGCAUUAGAGGCAUUAACAAGCUGGAAGACAGGGAAUCACGUGUUAUGGUUCACUAACCAUUCCUCCUUAUUUUCUUAGAGAUAGCACAUCUUCAAGCAAGCAGCAAAGAGAAGAAUAAUAAAGGAUCUGUACUCUCAGCAAGAGUAUUUACACGCUAAAUUGAUACACGAAUCUACAGGGCUGUCAAUUAUGUUCCAAGCAUGCUUGAAGCAAUGGGCGUGAAACCUGUGCAACCAGCUACUUGUCACCAAAGCUUUUACUCAUUUUGCAAAGAAAGCAAAUAAAAAGAAUUGUUAUUAGUAACAACGGCUGAGAUUCACUCGAGCUGAUCUGGGAAAAUGACAGUUUUCCAGCCAAACGUUUGCUUGUGUAUCUGAAGCUUCACCCAGUGACACACGGAACACUGUCACAGUCAACAGGACGCAGCUGUCAGACAGGUUUUGUGCUUUCUGGCCAGGGCACACUUAGCAGGGUCUGAGCCCUAAGAUGAGUGAAAUAACGCACAUGUUCUGCUGUUUGGCCUUUGGACUGUACUGCUCAAAUAUAUCUGUAUCUUUAUCUACGUAUUCCCAGGACCCACUAAAUGCUACCAUAUUGGAAAGGAUUUUUUACUGUUGAUUAUGUAUGUCGUAUUACACGUGACUAUUUAUACUGACCAUUUCAUUCUGAAAAAAAAAACCAACCAAACUUAUCAUUAUUAUACAUAUCAUAUACUUAUUAUACAUAUUACUAAAACUACCACACUUCCUAUUAUCAAAACUUUUGAAGCAGUAUUUCAUUAGCUUUUUUUAAUAACGCUUUCAUCUCCCUCCCACCCUUGAUCAAGGAAUUGUUUGUAGGACUGCUGCUGGCUGGUUCUAAAGCCACUGUUGUUAUUUGGGUGGGGAGGAAAGGAGGACCACACACAGAUCUAAAGCAUACUUUGAUAAGUCAGAUUUCAAUCCAGUUUACAUUACUGAUGUUCUUUUUUUAUUUUUUUUUUCCAGCAAACAAUAAAUAGUUACACUGUUUUGAUUUACAGAUGGGUACUGCUUCUCGGUGAUAAAAAUAUUAGUAGCCUAUACUGACAUCACAACUGGCCUGUAAACAAGAAGGUUUAAA